GGAGGGGAGGGGAGGCAGGGCCCGCCCCCUCCCCCUCCUCCCCUCACCCCGGCCGGCGGCCCCUGCCCGGGUCUGCAGCCUUCAGCGCAGAGCGCGGCCCCGCGGCCCCGCCGUGGGAUCGAUAACUAAUUUCACCGCAGCAGCCGCCCCAGUUUUUUCCCGAUAAUUGUGCUCCUGCAGCUGCGAGCAAGGCCCCCAGCCCGGCGCGCGGCCCCCGCCCGCGCCCGAUCAAUUGACACCGCCACCGGGCGGCAGGAAAACUCAUUUUUCUCUCCCUCCCCGGCUCCCGGUGGGCGCAGGAGAAGCUCCGCCUCGGGCCGGGGCGGGGGGGUGGGGGGGAGCGCGGGCCGGUUCCCGGACUGACUCGAGUUUGGGAAGGUUUCCAGGGUAUCCGAUGCAACCGGAGGGCCUCAGUUUCUCUGUUCCACAAGUAAGGGCGUGGCCGAGGACCUGGGGGCUGGACUGACCCCGCCCCCUCGGCUUUCCCUGGGCGGGCCAGCGGUGCACCUGCCCCCCCAUCACUUCGGGGAGGGAGGGCCAACAGCGCAGGCGCCGUGGUCUGGACACAUGGGUUCGAAUCCGGCCUUUACCAGUUACCACUGUGUGACCUUGGACUGGUUCUGCCCUUUGGGCUCUUCCUCUCCGAGCCUCAGUUUCCCCAUCUUCCCAAAGGGGCUGGCAUAGUCGUCGGUGCGCAGGGCUGUAGAUGGGUGUGUGCAAGUGCGUGCCCCAUAAAUGGCGGUAGUCAUUAGAGAGUGGAGGAAAUCUUCACUCACUCACUGAGCACCUACUGUGCGCCAGGUACUGUUCUGGGCUGGAGGACAGAGCAGUGAUGAAGCAGACAAAAGUCCCUGUCCUCGUGGAACUGACCUUCUAACGAGGGCAUGAACGAUAAGCAUGUAAGUGAAGUAACUAGUGAGAAGACGAGAAAAGCCACGGAGAAAAGUAAACUAGGGCGUGUGGCAUAGGGUGUGAGGAGGGGUUGCAAGGGCAGUGCAGCCCCCCAGGACCAACUGAGCAGGGCUUCAUUGCCAGAGGCCCCUUUGCAAAGCUCUGAGCUGCCCCCUUUGCAAAGCUCCCAGCCUGCUGUCUGCUCAAGGUCAGGGAAAGCUGCAGACUUGGCAUUCUCUGAGAAGGGUGGGCAGGAGGAAGGAGAGCAGAGCGGGGAGAAGGCGAGAUGGGGGGGUGUCUAGAGAGAAGGGGGGUGUGCAGACGGAGAAGGGAGGACAGAGCUCCAAUGGCCAGGAGGCCUGGAAGUUAAAGGUCGGACGGGACUCAUGUAGCCAGCCGCCCCAGCUGGGCCACGGAGGCUCAGAGAGGGGCAGAGGCCUGCCCAAGGCCACAGUACAUGUGGGGGUCAGAGGUGGGCUCCUGGGUCUUGGCUCCAGACCCUGCAGAAGGGUGAGAAGGGCCAGAGAAGAAGAGAGGAGAGAGGAGAGACUCACGAGGGUAGGGAGGGGUGCGGGCAGCCCAGAGGCUGGGUCAGAGGGGGGCUGGGAGCUUCCUUGGAGCAACAUGGGUUGUGUUAGGACAUCUUCGGGAGGACUGGGAAUGACUCGGAAUGACUCAGGGAACCCAAUCUGCUGACCAGACUCCCUCUGCCCCACCUCCCCUCCAAACCAGUUACCCAAAUCUGACAGAGGUGUCCUAAGGCUUCUGCAUGAUGGUGGGUGAGUCAGGCAGGGGGCGGGGCCCUUGGCUGCUGGGGAGGUGGGCUGUUCUGGGGCUGAACAAACCUCAGGACAUUCCCCCUGCCUCAGUUUCCUAAUCUCGAAAAUGGAGUUAGUGGUGAAGUUCUAAGGUUCUGUCUGUCUCCUUCCCUCCGGAUUCCUGGCACACCCAGCCCCAUCACGGGGUUGAGAGCAGUGACUCGGCAGAAAUGAAAGCUCGAGCCUGCUAGCAACCGAAUGAGGUUAGCAGGGGAGGGAAGGGCUGGACUGGGUGGCUGGGAUUUGGAACAAACGGAGCUAGGCCGCACCCACCUGUUUGUUUGUCCCUCCAUCCACCCACCCAGACAGUCAUUCAGUCAUUCAGCACACACUUAGAAGCACCUACUAUGUGCGGGGCAGUAUGGAGGGGAGUGGGCAUAAGGUCCUGCCUCUCCCAUCCUCUCCCUCCCCCCAUGACCCCCACGCUUUCUCUUGAGGAGUGGUCGAAGGAGCAUUGGACUGGGAGUCAAUGUAGGACUGAUGUCCCCUGGGUGCCCCUCUGUGCCUCGGCUGGACUAACAACAGCCACGUCAGGGGUCUGGCUCCCAGCAUCAUGUUCAGUCCCUCAGUUCCCCUAAGGCCAGAUGAGGGAUCGGAGACCAGGACCCACCCAGGGUCCCACGGCCAGGAGGCUGUGCCUGACCCAGUGCCCUGUCCGCCUGUCCCGAGUCUGGGAGGAAUGACUGCCUAUCAGGAAGGAUCUGAGGAUCCCAGGCAGAAACCAGGCUACAGUGUUCAGAGUCCCCUUGUCCUGCCUCUCAACUGGUGGCUUUGUCCGCCAGUCAUCUCAGAAAGGGCCUGUGUGGGUCAGCCUAGCAGCUGCCCCUUUGCCCACACCCCAUGGUGGCUGAUGCCCUGGGAGGCCAUCCAGGGCAACUUCAGCCUCCACAGUGAGACCAAGCCUCCCUUUUCAGGGAGAUGUAUAUUCAGUCCAUCCCAUCUCUCAGAGCACCAUGGCAGAUGACAUCCAAGGCCUUACAGAAUUCUUGAUCUGGAGACAUGGGAUCCCGUCCCCCUGGGCCUUGGACCAAGGGCCCUACUUUAUGGCAAGGAAAGAGCACCGUGGGUGUGCAAGCACGGUAGCCACUCGUCUGACCCUGGAGCAAUGGGCCUGACGGAACGCUGGGGCAGCCAGCUCGUGCGACACCCUGUGUCCAGAACCCACAGCUAAUCAAUGGUACUGUGACCCCAAAAACUAGGACACACGGUCCAGGAACAAGCUGUGGAAAUAGGAUUGUGCCCGCCUGCAUCACUCCAGUGCCUCACUUGUAGAUUUGUACUUCUCCUCCCUGCAGCCUGAGAUUUGUCAGAGAAGAGGUACCGGAGAUUGAGACACAGACACGCACAGAGGAAGGAUCACAUGAAGACACAGCAAGAAGAUGGCCGUCUACAAGCCAAGGAGGGAGAAGAAACCAACUCUGCCUAUACCUUGGUCAUGGGUUUCCAGCCUCCAGGAUGGAAGAAAAUGAAUUUCUGUUGUUUAAGCCA